CCAAAAACUUAAAAUGACUAUAUCUUGAUCUCUGAAUACAAACAUAAGCACAGUAAAAAUAAUCAUAUUCUCAUAUUUAAAUUUUUAUCUGUUUAGAUUUUAUAAUAGUAGUGGAAAUUUCCCUUCUAAUAGUAUCAAUAUGCGUGAUGUAUUCUGCAAAUCUUCCAGCUUAUAAUUAAGAGAAUUGCUAUUUUUAUUAGUGAUCUUUUUUGUUGAUUAAAAAAUAAUAGUGCUUUCUAAUAGUGAUUUCUGUUGUAUUUUGAAUGAAAAUUUGUGGUGCUUUUAUACUGCGCAGUCUCCCAAACUUAGCACUUCUCUAUCUCAGGGAACAUCAUAUUUCUCUAGCUGCCAAAUGAAUAAUUCAUAUUUGUAAUAAGCAGAGGUGUUAUUCUUUUUUUGGGAGACAGAGGAACUCAUUUUUGAUGAUCCUAAGUUGUUUAUCAAAACCACCUUGAAAAUGUUGCCUUGAUUUCUUUAUUGACUAUAAUUUCAAGAUGUUUUGGCACAGGUUUAUGAUACAGGAUUUGAUUGCAUAUGCCUAGCAUAGCAAACUUGUACUUUAUUUACCGUUUUAUUUAAAGUAUCUUUGGAAAAUUGUCAGCAUUUGGAGGGCUUAUGUGAAGUAUGUCUCCCAGCAAAAUUAGAAGAAACAUUAUUAGAGAGAAUGUGUGUUUGGGUUUGGGGUAGGUAGGUGGUGGUGGUAGGAAAGAAGACUAUAGAGCAAUAUAGAAGGAUUUAAUGCAAUAGAGGUUCUUUUAAAAGACACUUCAUAAUAUGCAUAUGAAGAAACUGCAUGGUAGUUGCCUGGGAACAAGUAAAGGAAAAUCAAAUAAUGAACAGGAUUCUCAUGCCCUAGUGAACCAAAUUGAACUUUGAAACUACGAGAAAAAACGUUAGUGACCAAAUCUGCUUAUAUAAUUCAAUGCUUGAAAAUGUACCUUGCAUUUAAUUUUCCUGUCAUUUUUUUUUCCAGUGGGACAUGUAGGGGCUGUAUAAAUUGGCCACUCCAAAGAAUUAGGGUACAUAGGAUGUUAAAGACUGCAAUAAAUAGUUUACAG
rnacentral:lncRNA from 1 species